CCUGCUUGAUCCUGCCAGUAGUCAUUUGCUUGUCAUAAAGAUUAAGCCAUGCAUGUGUAAGUAUGAACUAAUUCAGACUGUGAAAAUGCGAAUGGCUCAUUAAAUCAGUUAUAGUUUGUUUGAUGGUAUCUACUACUCGGAUAAUCAUAGUAAUUCUAGAGCUAAUAUGUGCAAUAAAUCCCGACUUCUGAAAGGGAUGCAUUUAUUAGAUUUAAAGGUUAACGCGAGCUUGUCCCGUUGCUCUGAUGAUUCAUGAUAACUUGACAAAUCGCACGAUCCUCGUGCCGAUAACGCAUCAUUCAAAUUUCUACCCUAUCAACUUUUGAUGGUAGGAUAGUGGCCUACUAUGGUGGUGAUGCAUGACAGAGAAUUACGGUUCAAUUCUGAAGAGGGAGGCUGAGAAACGGCUACCACAUCCAAGGAAGGUAGUAGGCACACAAAUUACCCAAUCCCAAUACGGGAAGGUAGUGACAAUAAAUAACAAUACCAGGCUCAUUGAGUUUGGUAAUUAGAAUGAAUACAAUCUAAAUCCAUUAACGAGGAUCUAUUGGAGGGCAAGUUUGGUGCCAGUAGCUGCGGUAAUUCCAACUCCAAUAGCGUAUAUUUAAGUUGUUGCAGUUAAAAAACUCACAGUUGGACUUUGGGAUGGAUCAACCUAUCCACCCUUGGGUGUGCACCGAUCGUCUCGUCCCUUUUGCCGGCGAUGCGCUCUUGGCUUUAAUUGGUCGGGUCGUACCUCCGAUGUUAUUAAUUUAAAGAGAUUACGGUGCCCAAAGCAAGCCUAUGCUUUGGAUCCAUUGACAUGGGAUAACAUCAUAGGAUUUCGAUCCUAUUACGUUGGCCUUCAAGAUCAGAGUAAUGAUUAACAAGGAUAGUCGAGGCAUUCGUAUUUCAUAAUCAGAGGUGAAAUUCUUGGAUUUAUGAAAGACAAACAACUACGAAAGCAUUUGCCAACAAUGUUUUUAUUAAUCAAGAACAAAAGUUGGAGGCUCGAAGAUGAUUAGAUACCGUUCUAGUUUCAAUCAUAAACGAUGUCAAUCAAGGAUCAUCGGAUAUUUUUUUUAGGACUCCGCUGGCACCUUAUGAGAAAUCAAAGUUUUUGAGUUUUAAGGAGACUAUGGUUGCAGGGUUGAAACUUAAAUGAAUUGACGGAAAGGCAUCACUAGGAGUGGAGCCUACAGCUUAAUUUGACUCAAUACGGGGAAAUUUACCAAGUCCAGACAUAAUAAGAAUUAACAGACUAAGAGCUCUUUCUUGAUAAAAAAUUUUUAGAUUUUUAAUUUCAAUGAUCACUAAUUCGAGUCUACUUAGGAUCACUGGAGUAUUACCUUAUUAUUGUAUUAAAAAUUAAAAAUUAGUCAAAAUGGGGUUUGUUUGUUUAAAAAAAAAAAAGUAUUUACCCUAAACAUGCAUAAAAACUAAAGUUCCUUAUGAGAGUAUAUUUGUAAUUUUGACAUAAGGAUUUUUGACACACGAAAAAAGUGAGAAAAUCUCUUAUGAUCUCUAAAAUUCUAAAACAAAUUUUGCUCUCCUUUUAUUUCGUGAAAUUUUUAUAAAUUUAUAUAUAUAUAUCUAUAUAUCUAAUAAAU
rnacentral:rRNA from 1 species